UACGUAGGGUGCAACGUUGUCCGGAAUUAUUGGGCGUAAAGAGCUCGUAGGCGGUUUGUCGCGUCUGCUGUGAAAACUCGGGGCUUAACCCCGGGCCUGCAGUGGGUACGGGCAGACUAGAGUGCGGUAGGGGAGACUGGAAUUCCUGGUGUAGCGGUGAAAUGCGCAGAUAUCAGGAGGAACACCGGUGGCGAAGGCGGGUCUCUGGGCCGUAACUGACGCUGAGGAGCGAAAGCGUGGGGAGCGAACAGG
rnacentral:rRNA from 1 species